GGCCGUAGCUCAGUUGGUAGAGUGCUCCUGUGAAAAGGUAGAGGUCGCCGGUUCGAUUCCGGCCGGUUCCACCA
rnacentral:tRNA from 1 species